AAUACUGAAAGAAAUACAACAAAAAGUUAUCUCUGGGUAAUGAGAUUAUGGUUAGAUUUUAUUGUCUACUUCUCCCUUUUGGUUAUGUCCACAUUGGACAAGUUUUCUUCAUGAUAAACUAUAUACGACAUGUUAUCGAUCAAUUAGACAAGAGAGCCCUGGAGGAAGAGAGGCAGGAGGCAGACACAGAAAGCAGGAAGUGUGACUAAGCUUACGUAUGCAGAAGGCCCACUGCCAGCCCUAUAGAAGCAAGGCCACAGAGCCACUCAGUUCCAGGGACACUGCAAAGGGCCUGGCAGGUGACAGGCAGAACAAGAGCCAUUUCACCAGCAGGAAGGGCCCCAGGAUGCAGUCCGGACUUCCCGCUCUCUUGUGCACAGUGGUGGCCUUCAUCCACUUUGGUUCCAGCAAAACACAGAGCAUCACUCAAUAUCCAAGUUCAGUGCAUAAACGGGAGAAACAAUCUAUGACCUUGGACUGCAUUUUCACACUCAGCUACACUUACUAUGUGAUGAGCUUCUUUCAACAACUUUCCAAUGGAAGCAUGACUGAAAUCAUUAAUCUUUAUUCUGCUAGCACAAACACUAGGAAAGGACGAUAUUCUGUGUCACAUCAGAAAGGAAACAAAGCCCUAAAGCUCACCAUCACAGGCUUGAUGUCUACAGACUCAGGUGUCUAUUUCUGUGCUGUUAGAGAGCUCCACAGUGAGAGGAGUGACAGGAAGAACCUUACAAAAACCCCCUGGGCUCAGCAUGAAACAGCUACCUGCUCCAGGAACUUAGGAGAAAACAACCCACAACACGGGAAAAGGUAGACAGAAGGCAGGGUGGGUGGCACUGGUGGGUCUAGAGUGGAAGCUGAUCAAUGUUCUAGCAAUAAUAUUCCCACAUCUGGUUCAAAGAAACAGUUGUGGUUAUAAGAUCCCAACCUCAACAGUAUUUUCACCUAGAAAUCUGGUGCCUAAAGAUGAUCACAUUGCCGAUCAAGAUAUCCAUCUGUCUCCUUGACAUGCCCAACAUCCAUUCCCCCUUUUCUCAUGACCACACCUGGAUUUUCCCUGGAUAACCAAGCCCUGAUUCCUCCUACCCCAGCCUUGGACUCCCUGGCCAACUAACAUAAUUCAUUUCUCUGACCACAAGGAUUGGUUCAAGGAUGGGUGCCUGCCCCAAGCCCACAUCCCAAAACUUAAUAUGAAACUCUUGGAAAUACUGCUGGGGAUGGAAGAGGAUAGGAUAUAAACCUACAGUUGCCAGAAGCCCUCUUCCCACCACAAAGGAACAGCAUGAUUCUGAAAAGAGGCAGUGAAACUGAGCUCUCUCAACAUUGUUUGGGCCCUUGGACUCUGCAGUGAUUAGAGAUUUACCUGGGAUUUUUCAGUUGUACACCCUAGCUGUCUUAGCUUGUGUUCCUCCAGAAGAAAACAAGGAUUUGAGUGUAAGUGAUUUACUUGGGAGGUGAUCCCAGGAUGCCUGGCAGGGGCUGUGGGAAGAAUGACAAAAAGGGAAGUCAGCCAGUGAAGGUCAUGUGUAUUAAUGCAAUCCCUACCAAAACACCACCAGCAUUUUUCAUAGAGCUAGAACAAACAAUCCUAAAAUUUUUUGGACCACAAAAGACUCCAAAUAGCCUAUGGAAUCCUGAAAAAACAAAGCUGGAGGCAUCACUAUUACAGACUUCAAGCUAUCUUACAAAUCUGUACCCAUCAAGAGAGUAUGGUACUGGUACAAAAACAUUCACAUAGAUCAGUGGAACAGAAUAGAAAACCCAGACAUGGACCCACAA